GCGGGCAUAGUUCAAAGGCUAGAAUGUCAGCCUUCCAAGCUGAAAAUGCGGGUUCGAGUCCCGCUGCUCGCACCA
rnacentral:tRNA from 1 species